rnacentral:rRNA from 1 species
UACGUAGGGACCAAGCGUUGUCCGGAAUCAUUGGGCGUAAAGAGCGUGUAGGCGGCCAGGUAGGUGGGUUGUGAAAACUGGAGGCUCAACCUUCAGACGUCGACCCAAACCCCCUGGCUAGAGUCCGGAAGAGGAGAGUGGAAUUCCUGGUGUAGCGGUGAAAUGCGCAGAUAUCAGGAAGAACACCCGUGGCGAAGGCGGCUCUCUGGGACGGUACUGGCGCUGAGACGCGAAAGCGUGGGGAGCGAACAGG